rnacentral:rRNA from 1 species
AUUUACCGCUGGCGGCAGGCCUAACACAUGCAAGUCGAGCUGAGCGGCGGACGGGUGAGUAAUGCCUAGGAAUCUGCAUGGAAGUGGGGGCUAACGUCCGGAAACGGGCGCUAAUACCGCAUACUAUCAGAUGAGCCUAGGUCGGAUUAGCUAGGUUGUGGGGGAAAGGCCUACCAAGGCGACGAUCCGAAACUGGGCUGAGAGGAUGAUCAGUCACACUGGAACUGAGACACGUCCCCGACUCCUAAGGUAGGCAGCAGUGGGGAAUAUUGGACAAUUGGCUAAAGCCUUAUCCAGCCAUGCCGCGUGUGUGAAGAAGUUCUUCGGAUUGUAAAGCACUUUAAGUUGGGAGGCGGUACCAACAGAAUAAGCACCGGCUAACUUCGUGCCAGCAGCCGCGGUAAUAC